UACGGAGGAUGCGAGCGUUAUCCGGAUUUAUUGGGUUUAAAGGGUGCGUAGGCGGUCCGGAAAGUCAGCGGUAAAAGCCCGGGGCUCAACCCCGGCGGGCCGUUGAAACUGUCGGACUAGAGACGGCGAGAAGUACGCGGAAUGCGCGGUGUAGCGGUGAAAUGCAUAGAUAUCGCGCAGAACUCCGAUUGCGAAGGCAGCGUACCGGCGCCGGACUGACGCUGAGGCACGAAAGCGUGGGUAUCGAACAGG
rnacentral:rRNA from 1 species